UGUGUGUGUGUGAUCAGUUGCAGGAUGAAGAGCGGAGGCGUAAGCAGCAGCUGGAGGAGAUCCGUAAGCGCGAGGCGGAGGAGCGAGCGAAGCAGGAGGAGGACCGCAGGUGGAGAGACGAGGCCCAGCGAGAGUCCGGGGAAAAGAGGAGACAGGAGGAGGAGUACUACACCCGUCUGGAGGCGGAGCGUCGCCGGCAGCACGACGUGGCGGAGAGGAAGCUGCUGACCCCCGACGACCCCCCGUCCGGAUAUAACUCGUACACUGGAAACUCAGCAGGAGUUGUAGGAUCAGGAGAAGUCUACAACGACCCGCGGGACAAAUGGACAAAGAGGUGAGACACGUUUUCAUUAUUAAGAAGGAAAAGAUGAAUUCUAUAGCUUGUUGAAAACACAAUCAAAAGCCCCAUUAGGUUUGUCGAAAAGUGAAGAUGGCGUAUGUGUUCUUCUCCACUAUUGGAUUUAACCACCAUUGGAUGUUGGAGGGAAAAAAUUCGUAGUAGCGUGUUAAAUAAAUUAGGAUGAAGGUCAUGGUACAGUAUGGUGAAUAAACGCACUUCAGAGUUUUACUGAUGCAGCAGCACUUAUGAUAUUGCUUGUUUGAAGUUAACACUGUCCUUAGUUUGCCUCGUUAUGGUUUAUUGCACUUAUUGUAGGUCGUUUUGGAUAAAAGUGUAAGCUAAAUUUAAAGCAA